rnacentral:tRNA from 1 species
AAGGAUUUAAGUUAAACACAAACUGUUAGCCUUCAAAGCUAGAAAUAGGAAAUUACCUAAGCCUUA